CAGUAGCCGCGGGAAUACGUAGGUGGCGAGCGUUGUCCGGAAUUAUUGGGCGUAAAGGGAGCGCAGGCGGACAUAUAAGUCCAUCUUAAAAGUGCGGGGCUCAACCCCGCGAGGGGAUGGAAACUGUAUGCCUUGAGUGCAGGAGAGGAAAGCGGAAUUCCCAGUGUAGCGGUGAAAUGCGUAGAUAUUGGGAGGAACACCAGUGGCGAAGGCGGCUUUCUGGACUGUAACUGACGCUGAGGCUCGAAAGCCAGGGGAGCGAACGGGAUUAGAUACCCCUGUAGUCCCUGUCUCUUAUACA
rnacentral:rRNA from 1 species